UUUAAAUGGCCGCAGUAUACUAACUGUGCAAAGGUAGCAUAAUCAUUAGUCUUUUAAUUGAAGGCUGGUAUGAAUGGUUGGACGAGAUAUUAACUGUUUCAUAAAAAUUUAUAUUAGAAUUUUAUCUUUUAGUCAAAAAGCUAAAAUAAAUUUAAAAGACGAGAAGACCCUAUAAAUCUUUAUAUUUAUUAAAUUGUAAUUUUAUAGAUUUUUUUUAUUAUAAUUUAUUAUAAUAUUUUAUUGGGGUGAUAUUAAAAUUUAAUAAACUUUUAAUUUUUAAAAUCAUUAAUUUAUGAAUAAUUGAUCCGUUAUUAACGAUUAAAAAACUAAGUUACUUUAGGGAUAACAGCGUAAUUUUUUUGGAGAGUUCAUAUCGAUAAAAAAGAUUGCGACCUCGAUGUUGGAUUAAGAUAUAAUUUUAGGUGUAGCCGCUUAAAUUUUAAGUCUGUUCGACUUUUAA
rnacentral:rRNA from 1 species